UUACGGCCACACCACGUUGAAACACCAAUUCCCGUACGAUCACCGAAGUUAAGCAAUGUCGGGCCUGGUACUGACUACAGGGAGACCGCUUUGGAAUAGCAGGGGAUGUAA